rnacentral:misc_RNA from 1 species
GAUGAAGAACGUAGUGAAAUGCGAUAAGUAAUGUGAAUUGCAGAAUUCAGUGAAUCAUCGAAUCUUUAAACGCACCUUGCGCCCUUUGGCUAUUCCGAAGGGCAUGCCUGUUUGAGUAUCAUGAACACCUCAACUCUCAUGGCUUGCCAUGAUGAGCUUGGACUUUUGGGGGUCUUGCUGGCCUGUGGUCAGCUCCUCUCAAAUGAAUUAGCCUGCCAGUGUUUGGUGGCAUCACAGGUGUGAUAACUAUCUACGCUUGUGGUUUUCCACCAGGUAACCUUCAGUGAUGAAGGUUCGCUGGGGCUCAUAAACGUCUCUCCUCAGUGAGGACAGCUCUUUGAACGUUUGAUCUCAAAUCAGGUAGGACUACCCGCUGAACUUAAGCAUAUCAAUAAGCGGAGGA